ACCCACUUGCUGGCCCAUUCUUGAGGCCUGUAGCCUUUAUCUGCUGGUUAGGUGUUGGGGGCUGGAAGGGUGGGGGCCCCUGCCUUGUGGACUCAUGGAUGAAGCCCUAGCAGGACCAGGACAGGGGGUGGGGGAAGAAAUCUU